rnacentral:sRNA from 1 species
GUUCUCACGAGUCCGGGGCCCAAGUCCCAGACGCUACCCAUGGAGGCGUCCAGCGAGCCGCGGCUGGAUGCUAAGUCCGAGGUCACCAACCAGUAUUAAAAUGAAGAUACUUUAUUUAAAUAUGACCAGCGUUGAAACUAAAAGUUGAGUGUAACUGCAGUAAAAUUGAAUAAUAUCUGCAUUCCAGGUAAUGUUACUACUAAUGUAUUAUUUUGUCCUGUCUUAUUAAAGCUUGUAGAUUUUCAGUGGAAACUGGGUAUGGCUGUGAGCUCAGACACUUGCAGAUCUCUUAAGUAUCCUUAUGUUGCAGUGAUGCUAAAAGUGGCAGAUCAUUCAGGCCAAGUAAAGACCAAGUGCUUUGAAAUGACGAUUCCACAGUUUCAGGUUUGUGAUUUAACUCAUCCAGUUUUAGCUCAGCUUUUCUGUAAUCGUCGCAUAAAAAGAUGUAUAAAAUCUUUCUAUGGGAAAACUUUAAUGGUUUUUAUUUGUAGAUUGAUAUGCUCUACAUUUACUAGUAGUAUAUGCAAGAGACAUGAAUUUGUCUUCUUUGGGAAUUGGAUAAAUUAUUUUCAAUAUAAUGUGCUGAAUUUGUGUACUGCGCCAUUUGAUCGCUUGAACAGUACUCCUCUCUGAGUAUAUUUAGGAAAGUUUUAUCUUCAGUGGCAGGAUAUUUACUUUGCAUUCAAAUGUUUUAUUCCUUUGGGCUUAAUAUUCAAGAAUGUUAAGCUAAAUGAAUCUUUGAAUAGUGUUGACCCUGAAUUUUCUGACUAAUAAUGUUUACAA